CCUACGGGAGGCAGCAGUGAGGAAUAUUGGUCAAUGGGCGAGAGCCUGAACCAGCCAAGUCGCGUGAGGGAGUACUGCCCUAUGGGUUGUAAACUUCUUUUAUCUGGGAGUAAAAUGUUCCACGUGUGGCAUUUUGUAUGUACCCUAUGAAUAAGGCUCCGCUAAAUCCGUUCCCGCAACCGCGGUAAUACGGGGGAUCCGAGCGUUAUCCGGAUUUAUUGGGGUUAAAGGGUUCGUAGGGGGGCUGUUAAGUCAGCGGUAAAAGGUCGGGGCUCAACCCCGGCGAGCCGUUGAAACUGGGUGUCUUGAGUGGGCGAGAGGUAGGCGGAAUGCGUGGUGUAGCGGUGAAAUGCUUAGAUAUGGCGAAGAACCCCGAUUGCGAAGGCAGCAUACCGGCGGCGAACUGACGCUGAGGCACGAAAGUGUGGGUAUCGAACAGGAUUAGAUACCCCUGUAGUC
rnacentral:rRNA from 1 species